rnacentral:rRNA from 1 species
GCAAGUCGAACGGUAGAGGAACAUCGGUUUCUUGAGAGUGGCGAACGGGUGAGUAACACGGAGAUGAUCUGCCUUGAAGUUGGGGAUAGCCUAUAGAAAUCUGGGGUAAUACCGGAUAAUACCUUAAGACUUUGGUCUUUUGGUGAAAGGGGCUUCGGCCUCGCUUUAAGAUGAGUCUGCGGUCUAUUAGCUAGUUGGUAGGGUAAGGGCCUACCAAGGCGACGAUAGAUAGCCGGCCUGAGAGGGUGACC